rnacentral:rRNA from 1 species
CAGGCCUAACACAUGCAAGUCGAGGGGUAGAAGGAGCUUGCUCCUUUGAGACCGGCGAACGGGUGCGUAACGCGUAUGCAAUCUGCCUUGUACUGGAAGAUAGCCCAGAGAAAUUUGGAUUAACAUUCCAUAGUAUCUAGUUAACGCAUGUUAGCAAGAUUAAAGAUUACGGUACAAGAUGAGCAUGCGUCCCAUUAGCUAGUUGGUAUGGUAACGGCAUACCAAGGCUACGAUGGGUAGGGGUCCUGAGAGGGAGAUCCCCCACACUGGUACUGAGACACGGACCAGACUCCUACGGGAGGCAGCAGUGAGGAAUAUUGGGCAAUGCUCGCAAGAGUGACCCAGCCAUGCCGCGUGCAGGAAGACGGUCCUAUGGAUUGUAAACUGCUUUUAUACGGGAAGAAACCCUCCUUUGCGAAGGAGCUUGACGGUACCGUAUGAAUAAGCAUCGGCUAACUCCGUGCCAGCAGCCGCGGUAAUACGGAGGAUGCAAGCGUUAUCCGGAAUCAUUGGGUUUAAAGGGUCCGUAGGCGGCCUGAUAAGUCAGUGGUGAAAUCUCCUAGCUCAACUAGGAAACUGCCAUUGAUACUGUCGGGCUUGAAUUGUGGUGAAGUAACUAGAAUAUGUAGUGUAGCGGUGAAAUGCUUAGAUAUUACAUGGAAUACCAAUUGCGAAGGCAGGUUACUAACCAUUGAUUGACGCUGAUGGACGAAAGCGUGGGGAGCGAACAGGAUUAGAUACCCUGGUAGUCCACGCCGUAAACGAUGGAUACUAGCUGUUGGGAGUAAUCUCAGUGGCUA